ensembl:lncRNA
GACCUCCAAACCAAGGCUAUGGCUGAGCUCGCCAAUCUUCGGUGCUGUUUAGCCGAGUGGGACUCGCAGUAGGCCCCAGGCCAGCCGCCUUCGGUUGGACGUUAAUGAACGGAGCAGGAAUGGGCACAUCUGAUGAAGCUGGCCAUGCUGUCAACUGAUUUUCAUCUGGCAGAGAAGAUUCAAAGCAGCUUCAAAACAACAAAACCAAACAUCACAGCAUUCCCAAAUGUCACAUUAUUGCGCAUCGUACAUGGACAGAAGCUAACGAGACGGGAAGACAGGAACGUGAUUCUCCUUGGAGAGAGACAAUUUUCACUGCCGCGUCCGAGUCCAAAAAUAACAAAGAACAAAGGCGGAUAAAUGAGUGAGUUUUUGAGCACAGGCUAGUGGGCUUUGGCAGCACCGGCCAGGCGGGAGGGGAGGGAGAGACAGUGAGAGCUAGCUAGCAGGCCCGUCCACACAUCUGUCCACACAGCACGGGGUAGGUUCCAGCGACACCCACAGAAACAGGCUUAACCUUCUCUUCCCCCCACCACCUGUUCAUUACUAUGGGCCCCCCCACC